rnacentral:lncRNA from 1 species
GGUUGGGGCAGGGAUAGGCGUGUCUGAGCUCAGCCUCUCCUUGGAUGGGGCUUGCUGCAGCUGCUGUGGGGGAUGGGGGUGGGGCUCCUAGUCCAUUGGAGUUAUAUUCCCAGGGAGAUUAUGGCUCCCUCUGCUGAGUCUGCUGAGUUGCCAGGGAAGUGGGGGAAAGCCAGCAGUCACCGGUUUCACCCCGCUCCCACACAGCCUGCAGUCCUAAAGGCCCGUCUCACUCCCACCGUGAGCAGCUUGGAGUCAGUUUCCAGGAAGCCAGUGACCCGGGCUGAGAAUUUGCCUCAGACCACAAGCCUCCCCAUUGAGAAAGCAAGCAGACUCAGUUUUUUGGCGUCUUAGGGACCCCGCAGCAAGUUCCUUCAAAGGGCUGCUCCGUCUAUCCAAGUGGGAGCUGCAAGCAAGUCCUGCCUCCUCUCCGCCAUCUUAACCCCUCAACCAGUAAAUGUUUAAAGACACAAAUCUCAAGCCCUCUCAGUCUCCACUCUUCAAAAGUCCGUCCUUUCCUGACUUUACGUGGCAGAAAGACAAUCUGCCUUGCAGCAAGUUUAUGGAUAACACGGAGUUCCCCUGCAAUGAAUAUGUGAACCCUCUGUUCUUCAGGAUAGCACUUGGGAUGAUGUGGAGGUAAACUCGACUGAGCAAUCCCUUUCUUCUGUCCUGCUGAUUGGAAUGUGGACAAUGGCCAGAGCUGCAUUUGGAUCAAGAGAAUGAGGGAGACUCCAUAAGCCAUAGUAGAGCGAAAGACCAGAGAGGGCCUGAGUCCCUGGGAAGUUUGGGAAACAAAGCCACCAUCCUAUCCCUGGAUUGUCUUCCUUGGGAAUUUUACAUGGUAUUCUGAGAAUAAAUUGUGGGAAGAUGGGGAUUUGAUCUAGUCUGGGAAUCAGGAAACUAUUUCCCAGAAGUGGUGAGACUUGAGCAUGUAUUUGAAGGUGAGGUAGAUGAAGUACUGAGGAUGAAGUGUACCAGGGGGAGGAACAGUAAGGGAGGAUUUCAAUCUAUAGGAAGAAGAUUACUGUGAGAAAAUAAUGCAUGUGAAAAUAAUUUGCAAAGUAACAUUGCUCUAACUGUUAAGAUACUCCUGUUAUAAAGUCUGUGCUUCUC